UUGUGGCAGUGGGAGAGGACAGGACUUAAGACAGUUUAUUACAAGAUACCUCAGAUCUCUGUCCUGUCUUCAAUCAUGUUUAACAACUACAUGAAGUUACUGGAAGAGGUCAUCUUUCAUUCUGGAAUGUUAUAUCAUCGAUAUGCAGAUUAUAGUCAGAUUUUUCCAGGCUGUUAUGUGCCAACCCAACAAUCAAAUUCCACUGUUCAUCAUGGGAAGAAACAACUGAAUGAAAGGGGGUCAUUCAGAGAUCUCUUACAAAGGCAUAUGCCAAUGUAACCAAAGACUGGGGCUGCGACCCGUGGCUUGGCUGGCUCGAUGAACCCCCUUGCUAUGUC